GCGGGGAUGCAGCAGUCCGGUCUACCUGGCUAGGUUGAGGUCCUAGUGGCUUAGUGCCUUCAGCGGUUCGAAUCCGCUUCCCCGCA
rnacentral:tRNA from 1 species